rnacentral:misc_RNA from 1 species
UACGUAGGUGGCAAGCGUUGUCCGGAAUUAUUGGGCGUAAAGGGCUCGCAGGCGGUUUCUUAGGGUAGAUGUGAAAGCCCCCGGCUCAACCGGGGAGGGUCAUUGGAAACUGGGGAACUUGAGUGCAGAAGAGGAGAGUGGAAUUCCACGUGUAGCGGUGAAAUGCGUAGAGAUGUGGAGGAACACCAGGGGCGAAGGCGACUCUCUGGUCUGCAACUGACGCUGAGGAGCGAACGCGUGGGGAGCGAACAGG